rnacentral:lncRNA from 1 species
CCCUAGGCCCCUUCCUUCCAUAAGACCUACUCAGGACUCCACUGGGCUGCUGACUACUCACCCUCCCCUCAGGUCAUCUCCUGACCCGUACACAGUUAUGUCCACCCAGGGUCUGCUUGGACACCUGUGCCUGAUGUUCACCAGGGGCCAGAUGUCGUCCUCAGGCCUGAUGUCCACCUAGGGCCUGAUGACUGCCUUGGCCUAUGUCCCUCUGGGGGCCUUGUGUUCACCUGGGGACUGUAUCCAGCUGGGGCCUGAUGGCCUACUGGGUCUUGUUGUUCACCUAAGGCCUUGUGUCCACCUGGGGACUGGUGAUCACCUGGGGCCUGGGUGUCCACCUGAGGCCAGAGGUGCACCUAAGGCCUGAGUUUUCACCUGGGCCUGAUGAUCACCUGGGGACUGGGUGUGUGCCUUGGGUCUUUUCCCUUUUCCUGAACAGGGCUUGCAGUUUCCAAACCAGACACAAUCUCCCAGUUGGAGAAAGAAAAAGGAUCCUAGAUGAUAGUGAGACAAAUUUCAGGAAACUCCAUCCAAAUAAGUAAAUGAGAAUGAGGACAGGAUUCAUUGCAUGGUGGCAUGUGCCUGCAGUCCCAGCUACUCAAGAGGCUGAGGUGGGAGGAUCGCUUGAACUCAGGAGUUGAAGGCUGCAGUGGGUGAGGAUCACAACACUGAAUUCCAGCUGAGGUGACAGAAUGAGACCCUGUCUCUCUAAAAAACAAGCAAGCAAACAAACCAAAAACCACAGACAAACCAGACCCCUCUUAGCAGAAUACUUCCAUGAGGUAAUAAAAGCUUCACAGGUCCACAAGUUGAAAGUGUACCCCCAGGAGCUGCACUAAAUGAUUUGUACCCAUCUGCACCUGAUUUAGAACGUUUAGAAGGAGCUGUUUCAGGCCUCCUCCUCCUCCCGUAAUAACUUGCAGUCUUUCCUAUGUUAUAAUAAAGCUACAUUUUCUUCUGAAAACUGGCAGGUUCUCCCUUCCUAACGCAGGCAGCCGAAGAGAGGGUGUCAGGAGCCAGAGGGUGUCAAGAGCAGCCAGGGCACACCGGCCUGCAUGGGGGCAUCCCUGGUCCAAGUCAGUGGCCAGAGCUGCAGCCUGGCUUUGUGCCCAAAGUUUUGUCUGGGUGUCAGGAAGGCCAUGCACUCACAUUUCAUCUCUUUUUGUGACUGGUCUGCUGCUGGUUGACCCUCGUUCCUCCUUUUUUGGGCAGGAAGGUGACAUCCAGGAUUCAGGAGAGCCUUCUGACUUGGGUGUGCAUGAAAGUCACCUGAGGCCCUUGACGUGCAGGAAUCCUUGCCAGCCUUGGAUUGCAAGCCCCAGGCUAUGGUAUAGCAAUGUGCAUUUUGUAGCAAGCUCCCUGCGUGAUUGGAGAGUCACAAAUGGAAAGAAAUACUAUAAUCAGUGGAGAGAAGAUGUGCACAGCUAUACAAGUGUAUGGUUCUGUGACAUACCACGAGGUGGGGGUGGACCUUUAUGACAUCUUCUCCCAGCAACCCCACAUAUUUCCCUUGCCCUCAGUGGGUCAGGAGUCUCCUGCUUGGCCUCAUCUUCGAAUCUGAAGCCUCUGAGUUCUGAAUAGUUCAGCCCCCUACUUUUUUAGAUGCCUCUGUGGCAAACCUUUGUUAUCUGACUUUUCUUUUAUUUGACAGAGCCUCGCUCUGUCGCCCAGGUUGGAGUGCAGUGGUGUGAUCUCGGCUGACUGCAAGUCCCGCCUCCUGGGUUCACGCCAUUCUCCUGCCUCAGCCUCCUGAGUAGCUGGGGACUACAGGCGCCUGCUACCACGCCCAGCUAAUUUUUUGUACUUUUAGUAGAGACGGGGUUUCACCGUGUUAGCCAGGAUUGUCUGGAUCUCCUGACCUCGUAAUCCACCCACCUGGCCUCCCAAAGUGCUAGGAUUACAGGUGUGAGCCACGGCGCCCUGAGGACUGGCAGACCCAUCUGACUUUCUUGGAGUAGAGGAGGAAGAGGAGGAAGAAGAGGUGCAGGAGGAAGACCAGUGUUGAUUGAGCCAGCGGGAAGCAGAAUCUCUGGAGGGCCAUGCAGAGCCUUGGGGACUGACCAAGUUCCCCCACUGAGGGGUCCCAGGCUGGACCGACAGGAGAGCCUGGGAGGAGUUCUGACCCUGGAGAGGAGGUUGGCCCAGCCAGGGAGACAUGUCCUGCUUCAGAGAGGCCUUUCUAAAAACAAAACCCAUCCCUGAGGAAGCAAGACAUCUGGUGACUGCUCCGUUCUACCCCAAUUCUCACUCACUCUGGCCAGUGAAGCCGC